CCUGGAGAAAGAAUUGAGGACAGCUGGAACCAGUCAUCGGAAAGUGGUUCUCUACUGAUUUCAAUGAAACUCAAGGUCAGAGGACAUGACAGUGCCAACCUCACAGAGUGACAAUGAGGGAAACAGCAGUCAAGAAACCAGCACCGGACACAGGAAAACCCAGAGGAUUUAACAACCAAUCGUGUGAACACCCAGAUACAAGUCAGCGUGGUGUCUGCUUUCCUGAGAAACUGACUUUCCAAGCUGGACCCUGGUCCUGGCCUAAUUCAGAGAAGCAAGAAGAGGAGAAGGCUCUGAAGAAGACGUGCACAGAGUAGCUGGCUGGACUUGGCUGCAGCUUUCAAAAGGUUCACUCUAUGUGGAGGACGAAAUAAAGGCAAUUGCUUGCAGAGGAUGCUGAAACCA
rnacentral:lncRNA from 1 species